GGUGAGUAACACGUGGGUAACCUGCCCAUAAGACUGGGAUAACUCCGGGAAACCGGGGCUAAUACCGGAUAACAUUUUGAACUGCAUGGUUCGAAAUUGAAAGGCGGCUUCGGCUGUCACUUAUGGAUGGACCCGCGUCGCAUUAGCUAGUUGGUGAGGUAACGGCUCACCAAGGCAACGAUGCGUAGCCGACCUGAGAGGGUGAUCGGCCACACUGGGACUGAGACACGGCCCAGACUCCUACGGGAGGCAGCAGUAGGGAAUCUUCCGCAAUGGACGAAAGUCUGACGGAGCAACGCCGCGUGAGUGAUGAAGGCUUUCGGGUCGUAAAACUCUGUUGUUAGGGAAGAACAAGUGCUAGUUGAAUAAGCUGGCACCUUGACGGUACCUAACCAGAAAGCCACGGCUAACUACGUGCCAGCAGCCGCGGUAAUACGUAGGUGGCAAGCGUUAUCCGGAAUUAUUGGGCGUAAAGCGCGCGCAGGUGGUUUCU
rnacentral:rRNA from 1 species